CUGGAAGCAGCCAGUCCGCCCUUUGUGGGUGUGCACUUGGUGAAUUCUGGCAUCCUCCUGAUUGGUGUUACCAUCACUUGAUUGUGUUGGUGGCAGCUGUCAGGACUGUUACUUUGAGAAAAUUAGAGUGUUUCAAGCAGGCUUGUUGCCUUGAAUACUGCAGCAUGGAAUAACAAGAUAGGAUUUCGGUUCUAUUUUGUUGGUUUCUAGGACUGAAGUAAUGAUUAAUAGGGACAGUUGGGGGCAUUCGUAUUUAACUGUCAGAGGUGAAAUUCUU
rnacentral:rRNA from 1 species